rnacentral:tRNA from 1 species
GACUCGAUAGCUCAAUGGAAGAGCGGCGAUCUAGAUACCCGAAGAUGCGAGUUCAAAUCCCGCUCGAGCCA